UACGUAGGGUGCGAGCGUUGUCCGGAAUUACUGGGCGUAAAGAGCUCGUAGGUGGUUUGUCGCGUUGUUCGUGAAAACUCACAGCUCAACUGUGGGCGUGCGGGCGAUACGGGCAGACUGGAGUACUGCAGGGGAGACUGGAAUUCCUGGUGUAGCGGUGGAAUGCGCAGAUAUCAGGAGGAACACCUGCGGCGAAGGCGGGUUGCUGGGCUGAUACUGACGCUGAGGCGCGAAAGCCAGGGGAGGCGAACGGG
rnacentral:rRNA from 1 species